rnacentral:rRNA from 1 species
UCUCACCAGAGGCGACGGCAGAAUGAAAGUCAGACUGAAGGUCUUACUUAACAAGCCGAGAGGUGGUGCAUGGCCGCCGUCAGCUCGUGCUGUGAAGUGUCCUGUUAAGUCAGGCAACGAGCGAGACCUGUACCUACAAUUGCCAGCAACAUCUUUAGAUGGAUUGGGCACAUUGUAGGAACUGCCCUGGAAACAGGGAGGAAGGUGCGGGCAACGGUAGGUCUGUAUGCCCCGAAUCCUCUGGGCUACACGCGCGCAACAAUGAUAUGGACAAUGGGAUGCAACCCCGAAAGGGGAAGCUAAACCUCUAAACCAUAUCCCAGUCCAGAUUGUGGUUUGUAACUCAGCCACAUGACGUUGGAAUCCCUAGUAACCAGACGUUAGCAUCGUCCGGUGAAUAUGUCCCUGCUCCUUGCACACACCGCCCGUCAAGCCAACCGAGCAGGGUUUAGGUGAACCCUAGUUUUUUGAUUAGGUUGAAUCUAGGCUCAGUGAGGUGGGCUAAGUCGUAACAAGGUAGCCUCAGUCAGUCAA